AAAGCAGAGCACAUUCAGUUUAAUGAGCAGAAAUUGAAUUCAAGUUUGUUCAGAAUUGACUUCAAUUAAGCACAGCCUUAAUGAUAAAUUAAUCUAUUUUCUUUAUUCCUAUGUAUUUGUUUUUCAAAGGCUGCAAAUGAACAGGGCCAAUGAAGAAUUCUAUUUGGAAAUAGAUUGGUGGUCUGACGGAAGAACUGCAUCUUUUAUGUUUAAUGCAUUUAGAUGCAAUAAUAUGCUGAGCAAGCAGAAAUAAAUACCUAUUUGUUUUUAUAAGAUUUUGUUUUGAGAUGCUCCUCAAUAAAAAAAAAAAAUCUAACACUGCUUUUGAUGGCUGCUACCCUGUAAGCCCCAAUUGCAAACUCUUCAGCGAAAAAACUUCAAGAUAUGGGCUUGUCUGGACUUCUUUUUUGUUCUACAGAUCACCUUUGCUUGGCCAAAUUACUGAAGACUAUUUUGCAGAUUUUGUGAUGAUUAAGUUCUAAUUUCCUUGAACACAGAUUCAAAAUCUGCAGCAAAAAGUGAACUUUGCUUGACUGAACUCUCGACUCUGACUCCUCUGAGGAAGGUGAAUGACUCCUUUGUAACAUGGACCCAUGUGUACUUCUGGCAUAUCAGCACUGUAACCAGGAAGCCCUUCUGGGUCAGGUUCAAUAUCUUUCUGACAGUGGAGAGUACAGCACCCUCUAGUGGCACCCAAGGACAGGACUGUGUGUCCAAACGGGAGCCAUACCAAGGGAUGCUGCCACCCAGCAUAUUGAGGAAACACAUGGCUCCUGGAGGGACUCUAAUUUCGUUGAUAUCAAUCUGUGUGGUUGGGAUGGACAGGUGUCACCCCCAUAGAGGAUUCUUCUGCUUUGUUGGUGCAUUGCUGUGGAGCUGAAUGAAAGAAGGUAAAUAUUGUGAUGGGCAGCCACGGCCAUUAUCUGGCUGGGACACCAAUGGAAUGGAAAGACGGGGGAGAGAGCAUCGAUGAGGCAAUACUUCUCUUGCAACUCUAGAAGGCAACCCUCCUGGGCGGCUGUGACACCACGGAUUCCCACAAGACACGCUGGGAGCUGGAAUUUGGUACAGCCGUGUUGGGUUCUGUGGGGGCCAUCAGGGGGAGUUACAGAGUCCUGCAGUGGACUUCCAUCACACCUCCAGGUAAUACUGAUGAGCCAACUGGAACACUCCCAGGACCUGAAUAAAAGGAGCUGCCUCGCUCCAUUCAGAGA